GAUGAACGCUGGCGGCGUGCUUAACACAUGCAAGUCGAACGGAAAGGCUCCUGCUUGCAGGGGUACUCGAGUGGCGAACGGGUGAGUAACACGUGGGUGAUCUGCCCAGCACUUCGGGAUAAGCCUGGGAAACUGGGUCUAAUACCGGAUAGGACGAUGGUUUGGAUGCCAUUGUGGAAAGUUUUUUCGGUAUGGGAUGAGUUCGCGGCCUAUCAGCUUGUUGGUGGGGGAAUGGCCUACCAAGGCGUCGACGGGUAGCCGGCCUGAGAGGGUGUACGGCCACAUUGGGCCUGAGAUAGGGACCAGACUCCUACGGGAGGCAGCAGUGGGGAAUAUUGCACAAUGGGCGCAAGCCUGAUGCAGAGACGCCGCGUGGGGGAUGACGGCCUUCGGGUUGUAAACUCCUUUCGCUAGGGACGAAGCGCAAGUGACGGUACCUGGAGAAGAAGCACCGGCUAACUACGUG
rnacentral:rRNA from 1 species